UCUGUGUCAUCCAAGACGCCUACUGUUGACAUAAAGCUGCUGCAUACGACGGGAGUGUAUUCUCCACCCACCACCAAGCUUAAUUGUGUUCCGGGAAAGGGUUCUAGAUCCAGACCACAAAAGAAAGUUCUUGGAUCUUUCCUCGUGCACAAGAAAGAAUUUGGCACAAGUCUACAGAGUAAAGUGAAAGCAAGUUUAUUAGAGAAGUAAAGAAACAAAAGAAUGACUACUCCAUAGGAAAAACAGGA
rnacentral:lncRNA from 1 species